UUGCGAGCAUCGACCAGCUCCCUUUGAACCCCCCCAGGUCAGAAAUGAAGCAAGGGUAGGAGGUUGUAGCGGUGCGAAUGCUCGUCUUUU
rnacentral:SRP_RNA from 1 species